rnacentral:rRNA from 1 species
AUUGAACGCUGGCGGCAUGCCUUACACAUGCAAGUCGAACGGUAGCGGGCCUUCGGGUGCCGACGAGUGGCGAACAGGUGAGUAAUGUAUCGGAACGUACCUUUCAGUGGGGGAUAACGUAGCGAAAGUUGCGCUAAUACCGCAUAUUCUGUGAGCAGGAAAGCAGGGGAUCGCAAGACCUUGCGCUGAUUGAGCGGCCGAUAUCAGAUUAGCUAGUUGGUGAGGUAAAGGCUCACCAAGGCGACGAUCUGUAGCGGGCCUGAGAGGAUGAUCCGCCACACUGGAACUGAGACACGGUCCAGACUCCUACGGGAGGCAGCAGUGGAGAAUUUUGGACAAUGGGGGCAACCCUGAUCCAGCCAUGCCGCGUGAGUGAAGAAGGCCUCCGGGUUGUAAAGCUCUUUCGGCCGGGAAGAAAUCGUAUCAGCUAAUACCUGGUGCGGAUGACGGUACCGGCAUAAGAAGCACCGGCUAACUACGUGCCAGCCGCCGCGGUAACAC